UACCAGCACUUCCAGACUGGCUCAUCACUGUGAUCACUCUUCUGUGAUCUUCAAGUGAAGCUGCCUGCACAAAGCCACCACUGAGCCAAGCUAUCUUCAGAGGUGCGCACAUCACAGCAAUUAGCACCACCUUUGCACCUGGAAUUCAGAAGAAUACCAGGACUAGUAGGAACAAAGAGGACCCUGGGACAUACCUAACACUGCUGGUCGGCACUAGAUCCUGCCCUUGCUCCAGAACCUGAAGAUAAGAGCCUGUGUCUGACAUGGAGGAAAUGACUCGGAAUGGACCUGGACGCCUCUUUCUGAAGGCUUCGACAAUAUCUGAAGGCAAAAACUGUAAAGAAAAACUAGAUGAAAUUACCAGCUUCCUGGAAAUGGAAAACCAGUCUUCUCUGGGGAGGAGCCUCUGAUAGGUUGUGAAGUCACAAAUUGUAGUCCUAGAACACUAAAUGGAUUCAUCAGGCUGCAUAUGUGUGCAUGUGUGUGUGCAUGCAUGUACACAUCUAUAAUAAUACUAAUUAAAGAAC